CGGCGCGCCGCGUAUUUAGCGGGAUCCCGGCGGGAAUCGGCCUUUCCCUUUCCAACGGGCACGGAACUGGAGCGGCUGCGCCUGCCCGCCUCUGUUCGGGGCAAAAAGUGAAGGUCAAGAUGAAUUUGUUGCUGGCUUUGGGAAUCCUCAGUCUGGACUCUGCCAUGCCUUGCAAGCAGAAAGAUGCCACGUGAAUUCUGGGGCUACAGAAGUUCUGUGCCAUCAGAUGACCACCUCCACUGUCUUCCAGCCUUGUGCCAGCAGGAGAGCCCAUCCACUUGUGGAAGUGUGGGUGUUUAAGGAGCUUGAAAACAGCAGCCUGGAAUGUGGAGUUCUAAUGCACUUGGAAAUGCUUCCAUUGCCCUUCCUGCUCGUCAGAAAUCCUGCUUGGUUCCACAGUACAGCAGGGAGUAACUGUUCACUGAAAAUAAAUAAUCCUGGAAUGAAAUUCAGGGUAGAGUGUCACUCUAGAAAGAGAAGUGGCCUUCUGGACAAUCUCAGAAUUUAGUAUGAAUUUUUGAGUGUAUCAAAUAAAUGGAUCAAAAGUGAAUAAGGCAAAAAUUAAAAUUGGGUAUGAAUAAAAUCUUGGAUUUCUGUUUUCGGUGGCUUAUUUUUUAGUUGAGGCUAUGGGAGCAGUAGCACUCUGAUCCUGCUGGAUGACAUCCUGGGCAUGAGUAACACAAGCCUUAAUUAUUCAGCUUGUCCAGAUUUGACAGAAGUCUGGACAACUUUACUGCAGCUUUUUAUUUAAGGUGUAUUUCUUGGAUGCAAGGCUUGCUGAGGAUUAUGCCUAGUGCUAUAUCCUUACUAUGAAGAUGAAACACAGGAAAGCCCAUGGCUGGGGAACCAUAGGGUGCUCCAAAAACUCAUCUCCUACCACACAUUCUUAAUUUGUUUUUACAGUGAGGUAUACAGAGCUGAACUCAUUGAGCUACCUGCUUACCAGGUUGUCUAAUAUUCUUUUACCUAACUGUAGCACUGUACUAUCCCCUGCAGUCUAUAUAAAAUAAUGUGGAAACCUGGGAUCAGGUUGGGGUGGUUUGGUGGGUUUCUUUUGUGGUUUGUUUUGUAGACUUUUGUGUUUUGUUUGGGUUUUGGCUGCAGGAGCAUCUGGCAUCCUUGCCUAAUCUUGUGUUGCUGUAGUGUAAAAAAAGACACAGAACAUGAAGCAGUAUGAUCAUACUUUUAUACAUUUCAAAAUCUAUACAACAUGAGUA